GAUGAAGAACGUAGUGAAAUGCGAUAAGUAGUGUGAAUUGCAGAAUUCAGUGAAUCAUCGAAUCUUUGAACGCACAUUGCGCCCUUUGGUAUUCCAAAGGGCAUGCCUGUUCGAGCGUCAUUUGUACCCUCAAGCUUUGCUUGGUGUUGGGCGUCUCGUCUCUAGCUUUGCUGGAGACUCGCCUUAAAGUAAUUGGCAGCCGGCCUACUGGUUUCGGAGCGCAGCACAAGUCGCACUCUCUAUCAGCAAAGGUCUAGCAUCCAUUAAGCCUUUUUUUCAACUUUUGACCUCGGAUCAGGUAGGGAUACCCGCUGAACUUAAGCAUAUCAAUAAGCGGAGGA
rnacentral:misc_RNA from 1 species